rnacentral:lncRNA from 1 species
CGGCCUCCGCCGCGGGCUCUGCCCGCUCGCCUGCUCGCCUGGUGGGGGAGAGGGGAGCGGGGCCGACACAGGGUUCCUGACCAAGCUGGUGCUUCUGCGUGUGUUCCUGCAUGACUUGGUGUGUCCCCUUCUCUUGGAUCUACUGCAGUUGACAGCAGAUAACUGAAAGCUCGGAAAGCGAAACCGUGGAUAAGCAGGGGAACUGUGGCAUCCCAUUUAAAAUUGCUUCUGAAGAGAAGCAUGAGGUUACAUCUGUAAUCUCCCUGCAGCAGAGUCAACUGCAUAAGAAACCAAAAGACACACCUGCUCCAUGCCAGCCUAAGCCACCACAUAAAAAGUCAGACCAUCUGCUGGAAGAACCACAUGGAGAGGCCCUGAGUCAACAUGGAGAGGAAGAAGGACUUGACUGAAUCCAGCCUUCCAGCUGUCCCUACCAAGGUGCCAGGCAUGAGAAUGAAGCUGUCUUGAACUCUGAAGACCAGCUUAGCCACCAGUUUCUGUGGGCCUCAAACAACACUUUCUGCAUUUUCCCCUCUCGCCCCCUACUCAUCACUCCCUGAAAGGUAAAAGCUGCUGAAACACAUCAAGAGCCAAAGGAAUUCAGAUUGCUGAAAGGUCAUCACUUUGAUAUGAUAAAUAUUAAGAGCAUUCCCAAAGGCAAAAUUUCCAUUGUAGAAGCACUGACACUUCUUAACAAUCAUAAACUUUAUCCAGAAACAUGGACUGCUGAGAAAAUAGCGCAAGAAUACCAAUUAGAACAGAAAGAUGUGAAUUCCCUUCUUAAAUAUUUUGUUACUUUUGAAGUCAAAAUCUUCCCUCCUGAAGACAAGAAAGCAAUACAAUCAAAAUGAAGAAAAUCACAAAAAUUUCCUAUGUGUACUCCUCAUCCCUCAUCCUGACUAUUUUCUCAUUUUUGGCAUAUUAAAUUAUGUUAAUUACCAAAUGUUUAAUGCUCUCAUUGUGAGAGCAUAGUCUUUUUUUUUUUUUUUUUUUUUUUUUUGAGACGGAGUCUCACUCUGUCACCCAGGCUGGAGUGCAGUGGCGUGAUCUCAGCUCACUGCAAGCUCCGCCUUCUGGGUUCACGCCAUUCUCCUGUCUCAGCCUCCCGAGUAGCUGGGACUACAGGCGCCCGCCACCACACCCAGCUCAUUUUUUUUUUUUUUGGUAUUUUUUAGUAGAGACAGGGUUACACCACGUUAGCCAGGAUGGUCUCGAUCUCCUGACUUUGUGGUCCACCCGCCUUGGCCUCCCAAAGUGCUAGGAUUACAGGUGUGAGCCACCGCGCCUGGCUGAGCGCAUACUCUUAAUAUAUAUUGAGCUCCCUGACUUUUCAAGAUUGCCAUGGAAUAUAUUUUGUUUUCUUUUAAUUUGGUUUAGGCAUAUUUUAUAUGUACAUGUCAGCAUGUCUAAUCAGUACAUCUGCACCUUUAUUAUAAGUAGAAGAGUUAAUUUGCUAUUUUAGGCACAUCAUACCAACUCUUAAAUUGGUCAGAUGACCCCUUGGGAAAUGUCCUGAAUCCCUCAUUUAAGUUUUACUUUCCAAGUUAGGUGUUUAGUUCAUUCUUCAUAUGUGAUAGUGAAAGUAAAAGCUUUCCUGACUCGUAAGGCUGACAUUUUCUUGUUAGGGAAAGAGACUCGAUAGCAAGGUAAACUAACAGUAUUUCCCAAAUAAAGGCACACAGGAGAAAAUAAUGAAUCAAUAGAAUCUAAUUAAAAUUACUACCCCAGGGAAUAAGAAGUAUUGAGGAUUUAUUUUAUUUUGAAUUGGUUUUAAGUAUGGAAUAAUCAUCUUUACAGUUAUAAAAAAAUUAGUGUUUACAAAAUGUUGGGCAUUUCUGCUUUGACAAACAAACAGGUAAGUCCCGUGGCCUUCAGAGGCAGGCAGCAGUAGAAACUUUCCAAAAAGUAACAAUUUCUCUGGAUUUAACAUGGAAAUAGAAAAAUUUAAAGAAUAAUUAAAUUAAAAAACCAUGGUAAAUGAAAUGUGGUGAUGAUAUACAGUUUCGGAUGUUAAUGCUAGUUGAAAGAGAGAAAAAAUAUCAAGUAGAAGCAGAGGACAGGAUCAUUGGAAGGGACCUGAGAAAUUGCCGCUUCAUCCAUUUUAGCACACUUAUUAGCAUGGCAUGUACCAAUAUUAGGAAAUUGAGUGACAGUGUGUGAGUUUAGCUCUGCCUAAUAUAUUACUGCUUGUGGGAUCUUUGGGAGACUGUAUCCUCUUUGAGAUUGAAUUUCUUCUAUAAAAUGAGCAUAAUACUACCUUACUUAAAUUUAAGGGUCAUCAUGAAGAUAAAUGUACUACAUUUAUAAACAGUAAAGUACUACAAAGGACCAAGCAAAUACGAAUUAUUUUUUGCAGUGGAGAAACAAGCGCCCGGUGAGAAUAUAUGACCUAAGGUUCUGUAGUUUAUGACCUAACCAGGCCCAGAAUGAAGUUUUUCAUAUCCUAGUAGUGUGUUUUUUCUGUUUUGACAAAAAACAGCAUACCUCAGAGAAGGAAAAAAGUGUGAAUUGUGGGUAUAUUGGGGUUAUCAGUGUGCUUCUGAGGGAAGACAGGCAUCACUACUUCCCAGAGAUGCCCUGGAAAUGAUAUAGAAGAUGCUGAAGAAUUCAACGUGAUAACAGAAUGAGGCAUUUGUAGUAAUGCUGAGAACAGAAAAAUGGACUAAGUGGAAAAUUUGUUUGCAUGUCUUUGAAUGUAGAUUUGUUAUGUGAACAAACUACCUAGUUUAUUUUUAGUUCAAUACAAUAAUUGUUUUAAGAAAACAUGAAAUAACUACUCAAUAUAAAAUGCAUUUUAAAACUCCUAUUAAAAAAGAUCACAGGAAAAUUGCUUGAUUUCUCCAUCAGUUAAAUUUACCACCGUGCACACGUUAUGUGGUUAAAAAUCUGAUUGUUUUCCUCCCCCACUCGAUACCAAAUGCAAGUACAUUUCCUGUUCCUUCCAAGGCCAUAACAAUUUGGUGCCUAAUCUAAAAUCUUUGAAACUUUGCCUAAUUUAAAUUUGGUGGCGAGGCUCUAUGGAAAUUCCCCUUCAGACUGAUAGUUGACAGAAGGCCAGGCAUUCAGAAGAAUCACGCAGGGAAGAUCGUGUUUGUUCUAAAAAGGCAAACCUUCCUACUCAGAAAAGAUUUUUUUUUUCCUGCCAGGAAAAUUGAGAACAACAGAUUGUAGAACUUCAUUGUAGCUCAUGGACUGAAAAGGCAAAGUCAUGGAAAGGAGGGAGAAGGGGCAUUGUGGAAUUCCCAUGUGUGUUAAUUUUUUCUUAGGAGUGCUAAAAAAAACCUCUCGGCCUCUUCCCAAGAACUCUUGAUAAUGAAAAUAUCACCAUAGUGCUCAAAAUGGAACAGUAAUUAAUGGAAGUGGUAUUUUGGGGGAGUACAGAUGACUUGGAAUCCAACAACGAGAUGUUAAGCAACAUUUUCCUGGAUCCCACAGUCUAGUCCUAUAAUGGAAGGCAAUAUGCCCAGUGAUUUUUUUUUUUCAUCUACACAAGGGAUUCUACGUGUAGAAAACCUGUUAGCUAUUUCCAUUAGCUUCCACUUAUUAACACUGUGGUUUACCAGAACAUUCUAAACCUCUCAUGUUGGGCAAGUAUUUCAUUCUAUAAAACUUUUAAACCAGAACUAUGACAAUGAGCAGGGAACCACUUUUCUUUUUCACUUCCCAGGUGGAGGUCUGAAUUAGCAGUUAAAUGGCCAGAAGGCAGGGAAGAAAAGGGAAACACCAACUCCAAAUAUCUGACCUGCCAGAAAAACUGACCCUAAGUAGUAAAUGACCCAGCAUCAUUCCAUUUGGUUUCUAUCAUUAAAAUUAGUGCCUGGCCUGAGCCAACAGGUGGAGGCUGCAGUGAGCCAUGAUUGCACCAGUGCACUCCAGCCUGGGUGACAAAGCAAGACCCUGUCUCAAACAAACAAAGAAACAAACAAACAAACAAAAAUAGUGCUUGGACAACUUAUCUUGUGGGUAGAGCAUAAAAGUCUGCAUGGAACACUCAUUCUCCUCACUGAGUAGGGAAUGCCCAACCCCUCACUCAUUCAGGAAUUCAUUUUCAUCCCAGACUCCCUGAUGUUCUCAUCUCUUGCUCACCAAAAACGGACAGGACUGAAGUUUUAUUGAGGUCCUAAGCAUUAUUACUAUUGGUUUUUUUUUUUUUGUUUGUUUGUUUUUUGUUUUUUUGAGACGGAGUCUUACUCCGUUGC